rnacentral:lncRNA from 1 species
CUUAUGUUUGAAAUCAUUGUAUAAGCUUCAUCACUCCUCAAGAAUCCAAGAUGUCUAGAAUUAAUUUGAGUUAACCUUUGGUUUAUCUUACAAUCAUGUAGAUAAUUUUCAAAUCAAUCUUCUUUUUUAAAAGAAUUAACUUCAAUUCGAGCAAACUGGAAGAACUCAAACCAACAUCCUUGUAAGUAGAAUCAACUUGAUUAUUUCUUGUAGA